rnacentral:ncRNA from 1 species
UAAGACGUGAUUGAGGAUCUUUCAUGUCUUAACCUCCCUGUUGGACUUCGGCCGAGCAUUGCGCUCGGCCUUUUUUUU